rnacentral:rRNA from 1 species
GAACUAUAGAGUUUGAUCCUGGCUCAGAUUGAACGCUGGCGGCAUGCCUUACACAUGCAAGUCGAACGGCAGCACGGGAGCAAUCCUGGUGGCGAGUGGCGAACGGGUGAGUAAUAUAUCGGAACGUGCCCAGUCGUGGGGGAUAACGCAGCGAAAGCUGUGCUAAUACCGCAUACGAUCUCUGGAUGAAAGCGGGGGACUCAGCAAUGGGCCUCGCGCGAUUGGAGCGGCCGAUAUCAGAUUAGCUAGUUGGUGGGGUAAAAGCUCACCAAGGCGACGAUCUGUAGCUGGUCUGAGAGGACGACCAGCCACACUGGAACUGAGACACGGUCCAGACUCCUACGGGAGGCAGCAGUGGGGAAUUUUGGACAAUGGGCGCAAGCCUGAUCCAGCAAUGCCGCGUGCAGGAUGAAGGCCUUCGGG